ensembl:lncRNA
GCUUAACACCACAAUAAUAAACAAUAUGUAGGUUUAACACCACAAUAAUAAACGAUAAGUAGGCUUAACACCACAAUAAUAAACAAUAUGUAGGCUUAACACCACAAUAAUAAACAAUAUGUAGGUUUAAUACCACAAUAAUAAACGAUAAGUAGGCUUAACACCACAAUAAUAAACAAUAUGUAGGCUUAACACCACAAUAAAACAAUAUGUAGGCUUAACACCACAAUAAUAAACAAUAUGUAGGUUUAAUACCACAAUAAUAAACAAUAAAUUGACUUGACAUAGGCAUAUGUUUCUAAUAUGCUUUUUGUUUGGAUGUCCUGGACAGUUUUUUUUCGCGCUACGGGUGCAAACCUCAUCUAGGCAAAACACCCACUGGGAAGGUGUCAUCAAAAAGUUGAGUUUAUGUUGUAAAAUUUAGUUCGGUGGUGGUCACGAAAUUUCCCAAAGCUCAUAGGCCCACAUUACGGAGAAUAUCAUGUGGUCAGCUGUUCAUUUUUCUUAGAGAUGUUAAUGACAUUUUCCUUGUAUUUACUUCAGUAUUUUCUAUGCGACACA